rnacentral:rRNA from 1 species
AGAACGAACGCUGGCGGCAUGCCUAACACAUGCAAGUCGAACGUGAUCCAGGCUUCGGCCUGGUGAAAGUGGCAGACGGGUGAGUAACGCGUGGGAACCUGCCCUGUGGUAGGGAAUAACCGUGGGAAACUGCGGCUAAUACCCUAUGAGUCCUUCGGGAGAAAGAUUUAUCGCCAUAGGAGGGGCCCGCGUCGGAUUAGGUAGUUGGUGGGGUAACGGCCUACCAAGCCUUCGAUCCGUAGCUGGUCUGAGAGGAUGAUCAGCCACACUGGGACUGAGAUACGGCCCAGACUCCUACGGGAGGCAGCAGUGGGGAAUAUUGGACAAUGGGGGCAACCCUGAUCCAGCAAUGCCGCGUGGAUGAUGAAGGCCUUCGGGUUGUAAAGUCCGUUUCGGCGGGGAAGAUGAUGACGGUACCCGCAGAAGAAGCCCGGCUAACUUCGUGCCAGCAGCCGC